UACGUAGGGCGCAAGCGUUAUCCGGAAUUAUUGGGCGUAAAGAGCUCGUAGGCGGUUUGUUGCGUCCGCUGUGAAAACCCGGGGCUUAACCCUGGGCUGGCAGUGGAUACGGACAGACUAGAGGUAGGUAGGGGAGAAUGGAAUUCCCGGUGUAGCGGUGAAAUGCGCAGAUAUAUGGAGGAACACCAAUGGCGAAGGCAGCUUGCUGGACAGUUAUUGACGCUGAGAUGCGAAAGCGUGGGGAGCAAACAGG
rnacentral:rRNA from 1 species